rnacentral:rRNA from 2 species
GUCCUUGAAAUACCACCCUGGUAAUAUUGAGGUUCUAACUCUGUCCCGUUAUCCGGGACGAGGACCAUGUCUGGUGGGUAGUUUGACUGGGGCGGUCUCCUCCUAAAGAGUAACGGAGGAGUACGAAGGUGCGCUCAGCGUGGUCGGAAAUCACGCGUAGAGUAUAAAGGCAAAGCGCGCUUAACUGCGAGACCCACAAGUCGAGCAGGUGGGAGGCUUUGAAGUGGCGACGCUAGUUGCCAUGGAGCCGUCCUUGAAAUACCACCCUGGUAAUAUUGAGGUUCUAACUCUGUCCCGUUAUCCGGGACGAGGACCAUGUCUGGUGGGUAGUUUGACUGGGGCGGUCUC